GUGAAUCAUCGAAUCUUUGAACGCACAUUGCGCCCCGUGGCAUUCCGCGGGGCAUGCCUGUUCGAGCGUCAUUAUAAACCCAAUCACGCAUGGCGUGGUCUUGGGGCUGGCAGCUCUGCCGCCCUUAAAGACAGUGGCAGCGCCGUAGGGCUCUUAGCGUAGUAAUACUCCUCGCUAUAGGGUCUCGCGGUCGCCUGCCAGCAACCCCAUCUUUCUCGGUUGACCUCGGAUCAGGUAGGGAUACCCGCUGAACUUAAGCAUAUCAAUAAGCGGAGGA
rnacentral:misc_RNA from 1 species